rnacentral:rRNA from 1 species
UUGAAGAGUUUGAUCAUGGCUCAGAUUGAACGCUGGCGGCAGGCCUAACACAUGCAAGUCGAACGGUAACAGGAUGUGCUUGCACAUCGCUGACGAGUGGCGGACGGGUGAGUAAUGCUUGGGAACUUGCCUUUGCGAGGGGGAUAACAGUUGGAAACGACUGCUAAUACCGCAUAAUGUCUUCGGACCAAACGGGGCUUCGGCUCCGGCGCAAAGAGAGGCCCAAGUGAGAUUAGCUAGUUGGUAAGGUAACGGCUUACCAAGGCGACGAUCUCUAGCUGUUCUGAGAGGAAGAUCAGCCACACUGGGACUGAGACACGGCCCAGACUCCUACGGGAGGCAGCAGUGGGGAAUCUUGGACAAUGGGCGAAAGCCUGAUCCAGCCAUGCCGCGUGAAUGAUGAAGGCCCUAGGGUUGUAAAAUUCUUUCAGCAGGGAAGAUAAUGACGGUACCUGCAGAAGAAGCCCCGGCUAACUCCGUGCCAGCAGCCGCGGUAAUACGGAGGGGGCUAGCGUUGUUCGGAAUUACUGGGCGUAAAGCGCGCGUAGGCGGACAUUUAAGUCAGGGGUGAAAUCCCGGGGCUCAACCCCGGAACUGCCCUUGAUACUGGGUGUCUUGAGUUCGAGAGAGGUGAGUGGAAUUCCGAGUGUAGAGGUGAAAUUCGUAGAUAUUCGGAGGAACACCAGUGGCGAAGGCGGCUCACUGGCUCGAUACUGACGCUGAGGUGCGAAAGUGUGGGGAGCAAACAGGAUUAGAUACCCUGGUAGUCCACACCGUAAACGCUGUCUACUAGCUGUGUGUGCCUUUAAGGCGUGCGUAGCGAAGCUAACGCGCUAAGUAGACCGCCUGGGGAGUACGGCCGCAAGGUUAAAACUCAAAUGAAUUGACGGGGGCCCGCACAAGCGGUGGAGCAUGUGGUUUAAUUCGA